AAAAGGUAAUGCCACUUUGGAGGAGCAUUUUAAAACAAGAGCAAAAUCUGGCAACUUGUUCCGUGCCCUCAGUGCCUGUAGUCCUAACCGGACUCCUUGAUCACGGCUUCCAUCGCCUCCUUUCAUGUUGCUUACAAAGUUACUCUAUGCAAAAACGUCGUGACUGAUCUACUUUAAGAAAGGAAAGAUAAAUCCGUUCUGAAGGUGGGAGAUGGUUGAUCUUUGGGCUCGAGUCGAGCACAGAUUGUGAACAAUCUCUGCGCAGAUUUAACGCAGGGGAUGUGCCAGGUGACUGGCAGCAGGGGCACACCAGAGCACACCACCAUGCAGGGCACCACUGUAAUGAGGUGGAAAGGUGACCUGCUGUCAGAUUUCAUUAUUUCAGACUUGGAGAUGAACUUCCCUCAAAACUGCUUGCCAUCCCAUGCAUCUCUGCACUAACCCUCCUGCCAGCCCUAUCUGCUCUCCUCCUUUUUGAGGCGUCAUGGAAGCUCCGUAUGAAGCCAUAUCCUGAAGUGACACAGGCUUCUCCCUGCAAUGCCCUGAAAGAAGGUUGUAGCGAGUUGGAGGUCGGCAUCUUUUCCCAGCACUUCAAAUGAGAGAUUGCCCAAGAUGCAUCAAACUGAAUGAAACAAAGUUUGUUUCUAUCUGGACGUUUCCUUCAUCAUGCCCACAUCAGGCACAGACAGCUGAUCAAUACGGCUUGCAACCGUGCUGCUCUUCCGAGGCUCAUCUUGCAAACUCCACUGAGGGCACAGAGCCUUUCCCAUUCAUUCAGGGGAGGUGAGCAGGAGAAGAGCAGCCCAGCUGGAGGACAGCCUGGAGAUGCAGAGCACCACCCCAGAGCAUCAGCAGCCUGCUGAUUGCUCCUAAUGAGAGAGUGAAAAGCAAGGUGAGAUUCACAAAGCCCUUCGGAGUGCAGGAGGCAUCAGAAAAGUCAUUCAUCUUGCAUUUCCCUCUGCUUCCCUCUGACACGUGAUGAGGUCUAUCUCACCAGUAUGCGCACACAUGGAGCCAGCACAGGAGGCUGAUGCCUGACCGACUCACUCCUGUGAUGGAAAUGUGUUUGCUGGGCUGUGGCAAGGGAUGGAGGCAAUGUCCAUUCCACUUUCUGCAUCAGGAGGAACGGCCUCGUCCAGCAACUCUACUGAGCUCUCUUGAAAAUACUGACUGCCUGAUGAGUGUUGCUGUUGGACAAUGGGUUCCUGCUUUUCAGGAGGCUGAAGGUUACGUAUGCAAGUUGAAUCUGGGAACUGGGAAUUGGUGGUGUCUGCCUGCAUUUUGGAGAGAACUCUGGGGUGACCAGUGGCUCCCAGUCCAACCCAGUCCAAUCCAACCCAAUCCGAUGGGAGAACAAGACCAAAGGAAAGAGGCCACGGAGCUGCUAAAGGACACAAAACCAGCACAGGACACCCUGCAGCAGCCAUCCAACCCUUGCAGCACCCUAUCUGCCAGCCAGGCUCCCCCAUUCCACACACAGUGCUCUUAGGCAAUGUGCUGAGCAAGCAAAGACUGGGAUUUCCUUGUCCUACAAGGCAGAAUGUUCAGUGAAACUGAUGAAGACAUGGAGAUUCAGCUUUAAGAAAUAAGAAGGCUAUUAAUCAUAUGGCUGAUCCAUCGAUCGUUCAGGACAUUCCCUGGCCCUGAAAACCUAAAAGAGCUUUGAUGUGAAGCAUGCGUCAGAAUAAAUAUUUCCUCCAUUGGACAGAAAGCUGGGAUCUGACAUUUUCAUAAGUAUCUCUUAUUUUCUUCUAAACUAGCAGCAGUUAAUAAAAUACAGUGGUGAUUUUUACAGGGAGUCCUGUAACUCAGAGGAAUAGCUUGGAGAUUUUAACUUUGCUCAGCUUUCUAGAUAUCUUGCCUGGGCUCUAGAGAUAGGCCAGUUCCAUGAUUAAGGAGUUCUGUUAGUAUCAG
ensembl:lncRNA